AGGCCAGAUGGAGUCAAGUAACAAGUGACUGAGCGUCCAGAGGCUACAGGGCUGGGUGCUGCAGAGCUGCAGAGCUGCAAAUGUAGGAAGAAAUGUUCUCGGUACUGAUCCUGUAGAGAACCCCUCAUGGUGCUCCUGCUCUGCUCCUGGAAGUUGCAGAACCUGUUUAAACCUGGCCGAAUUCUGAUCGGCACCUCUAAUGACUCAAUAAACCCUUUAUUUCAAAGA
rnacentral:lncRNA from 1 species